UUUCUGUCUCUUCUAAUUUUUCUUUAACUUAAUUAAAGAGUGAAAAUACUCUUAAUAAACUUAAUAGACGAGAAGACCCUUAGAAUUAUCAAUAUACCUGAUCGACUUAAUUUCAGGUUUUUUUUUGUUGGGGCAACAAGGGUAAAAUAAUCUACAAAACUACCCUACUGCAAUCGUCUACUAGCCGAAAAUUUUUAAGAGGGAUUUAAUUACCUAAGGGAUAACAGCAUAAUUAUAUUAAAUAGUUUGUGACCUCGAUGUUGGACUAG
rnacentral:rRNA from 1 species